rnacentral:rRNA from 1 species
AACGCUGGCGGCGUGCUUAACACAUGCAAGUCGAGCGAAGCAUUAAAACAGAUUCUUCGGAUUGAAGUUUAAUGACUGAGCGGCGGACGGGUGAGUAACGCGUGGGUGACCUGCCUCAUACAGGGGGAUAACAGACAGAAAUGUCUGCUAAUACCGCAUAAGCGCACAGUGCUGCAUGGCACAGUGUGAAAAACUCCGGUGGUAUGAGAUGGACCCGCGUCUGAUUAGCUGGUUGGUAAGGUAACGGCUUACCAAGGCGACGAUCAGUAGCCGGCCUGAGAGGGUGAACGGCCACAUUGGGACUGAGACACGGCCCAAACUCCUACGGGAGGCAGCAGUGGGGAAUAUUGCACAAUGGGGGAAACCCUGAUGCAGCGACGCCGCGUGAAGGAAGAAAGUAUUUCGGAUCGUAAAACUCUGUUGUCAGAGAAGAACAAGUUGGAGAGUAACUGCUCCAGCCUUGACGGUAUCUGACCAGAAAGCCACGGCUAACUACGUGCCAGCCGCGGC